rnacentral:lncRNA from 1 species
CAAGACGGAGCAGAUUCCAGUAACUCUGACUAGCUAGCUGCAUCCUGUCCACGACUCCAUGGUAGCAACUUGAAGAAGAUUUGCUCAAGUAGUACAGUAGCUUAGUAGUAUUCCCUCCGUUCGCUUUUAUAAGUCGUUUCAGACAGCUGAAAAUGAACUGAUUUGCAUGUUGUCUGAAAUGUCUUCAAGGACUUAUAAAAGUGAACAGAGGGAGUAGUAGUAAUAAUAAGUUGCUGUAGUCCUAUGUUUAUGUCAACUGUCGUCGUGAGUUUAUGUCUGAUUAUGACUGCACCGGAUAUGCAUGCUUGGGAUUAUGUAUGUGUGUGUGUGAGGGUUUGUGAGACUGUGAGUAGGAGUAGCUAGUACGACUGUUUAAGGUUGAUAAAUUUUGCAUGAACCAUGUGAGACAAAUCAAGUGUAUGUUCGUGCAUGGCCAAAGCGUGUAAUCUUGGUCACAUCAUGUUU